rnacentral:rRNA from 1 species
AACGAACGCUGGCGGCAGGCUUAACACAUGCAAGUCGAGCGAGAACCAGGGCUUCGGCCCUGGGGACAGCGGCGAACGGGUGAGUAUCACGUGGAUAACCUGCCCUCGGCACCGGAAUAGCCCGGGGAAACUCGGAUUAAUGCCGGAUAGCCCCACAGCCCCUCGGGGCGGUGGGAAAAGGUAGCUUCGGCCUCUGGCCGAGGAUGGGUCCGCGGCGGAUUAGCUUGUUGGCGGGGUAAUGGCCCACCAAGGCGACGAUCCGUAGCUGGUCUGAGAGGACGAUCAGCAACGCUGGGACUGAGACACGGCCCAGACUCCUACGGGAGGCAGCAGUGGGGAAUCUUGCGCAAUGGGCGAAAGCCUGACGCAGCGACGCGGCGUGCGGGAAGAAGGCCUUAGGGUUGUAAACCGCUUUCAGGAGGGACGAAGCCACUCGGGUGAACAGCCCAGAGGGUGACGGUACCUCCAGAAGAAGCCCCGGCUAACUACGUGCCAGCAGCCGCCGUAAUAC